rfam:Rattus norvegicus chromosome 7, whole genome shotgun sequence.
GGGGAUUUGGCUCAGUGGUAGAGCGCUUGCCUAGCAAGUGCAAGGCCCUGGGUUCGAUCCCCAGCUCCG